rnacentral:rRNA from 1 species
UGAGCAACCUGCCCUUGACUCUGGAAUAACAGCUGGAAACAGCUGCUAAUACCGGAUACGACCUCCGAUGGCAUCAUCUGGAGGUGGAAAGCUCCGACGGUCAAGGAUGGGCUCGCGGCCUAUCAGCUUGUUGGUGAGGUAACGGCUCACCAAGGCUUCGACGGGUAGCCGGCCUGAGAGGGCGACCGGCCACACUGGGACUGAGAUACGGCCCAGACCUCGUAACGGGGAGG